UGGUUGGAUCAGUUUGCAAACAUAUAAUCUUCAAAUUUUUUUGCGACCGAAUCCAGGCCACG
rnacentral:pre_miRNA from 1 species